CCUACGGGAGGCAGCAGUGAGGAAUAUUGGUCAAUGGCCGGAAGGCUGAACCAGCCAAGUCGCGUGAGGGAAUAAGGCCCUAUGGGUCGUAAACCUCUUUUGUCAGGGAGCAAAGGCGUCCACGAGUGGACGAAAGGAGAGUACCUGAAGAAAAAGCAUCGGCUAACUCCGUGCCAGCAGCCGCGGUAAUACGGAAGGUCCGGGCGUUAUCCGGAUUUAUUGGGUUUAAAGGGAGCGUAGGCCGGCUUUUAAGUCAGCUGUGAAAGUCCGCGGCUCAACCGUGGAAUUGCAGUUGAAACUGGAGGCCUUGAGUGCACACAGGGAUGCCGGAAUUCAUGGUGUAGCGGUGAAAUGCUUAGAUAUCAUGAAGAACUCCGAUCGCGAAGGCAAGUGUCCGGGGUGCAACUGACGCUGAGGCUCGAAAGUGCGGGUAUCAAACAGGAUUAGAUACCCUUGUAGUC
rnacentral:rRNA from 1 species